rnacentral:rRNA from 1 species
AACGAACGCUGGCGGCAGGCCUCAAACAUGCAAGUCUAGGGGGUGUAGCAAUACAUCACCGGCGGACGGGUGCGUAACGCGUGGGAAUAUACCUAUCGAUUCGGAACAACUGAGGGAAACUUCAGCUAAUACCGAAUACGUCCUAACGGAGAAAGAUUUAUCGUCGAUAGAUUAGCCCGCGUUCGAUUAGCUAGUUGGUGGGGUAACGGCCCACCAAGGCGACGAUCGAUAGCUGUUCUGAGAGGAAGAUCAGCCACACUGGGACUGAGACACGGCCCAGACUCCUACGGGAGGCAGCAGUUGGGAAUCUUGGACAAUGGGGGAAACCCUGAUCCAGCCAUGCCGCGUGAGUGAUGAAGGCCUUCGGGUUGUAAAACUCUUUCGUGCACGACGAUAAUGACGGUAGUGCGAGAAGAAGCUCCGGCUAACUUCGUGCCAGCAGCCGCGGUAAU